UACAGAGGUCUCAACCGUUGUUCGGAUUCAUUGGGCGUAAAGGGCGCGUAGGCGGCAAUUCAAGUCAUCUGUGAAAUCUCCGGGCUUAACUCGGAACUGUCAGAUGAUACUGCUUUGCUAGAGUGCAGAAGGGGCAAUCGGAAUUCUUGGUGUAGCGGUGAAAUGCGUAGAUAUCAAGAGGAACACCUGAGGUGAAGACGGCAUACUGGAUCACAUCUGACGCUGAGGCGCGAAAGCCAGGGGAGCAAACGGG
rnacentral:rRNA from 1 species